rnacentral:rRNA from 1 species
UACGUAGGGUGCAAGCGUUGUCCGGAAUUAUUGGGCGUAAAGAGCUCGUAGGCGGUCUGUCGCGUCGAAUGUGAAAACCCGGGGCUCAACCCCGGGCCUGCAUUCGAUACGGGCAGACUAGAGUCCGGUAGGGGAGUCUGGAAUUCCUGGUGUAGCGGUGAAAUGCGCAGAUAUCAGGAGGAACACCGGUGGCGAAGGCGGGACUCUGGGCCGAUACUGACGCUGAGGAGCGAAAGCGUGGGGAGCAAACAGG